rnacentral:rRNA from 1 species
CAGUAGGAAAGUAAAGAAAUUUCGAUUCCGUCAGUAGCGGCGAGCGAACGCGGAAGAGCCCAAACCUGGAUGCUUGCAUCCAGGGGUUGUAGGACUGAUGUUGAGUUACAAAGGUAUAAGAUAGCAGAAACAGUUGGGAAGCUGUUCCAAAGAGGGUGACAGGCCCGUAUGCGAAAUCUUGUACUCUCUAAUCAGGAUCCUGAGUACGGCCCAGCACGUGAAAUUGGGUCGGAAUCUGGGAGGACCAUCUCCCAAGGCUAAAUACUAACUAGUGACCGAUAGCGAACAAGUACCGUGAGGGAAAGGUGAAAAGAACCCCGGAAGGGGAGUGAAAUAGUUCUUGAAACCGUGUGCUUACAAGAAGUUCGAGGCCGUUAAUGGCUGAGAGCGUGCUUUUUGUAGAAUGAACCGGAGAGUUACGAUUGCGUGCAAGGUUAAGGUGCAAAGACUGGAGCCGUAGCGAAAGCGAGUCUUAAUAGGGCGAAUCAGUACGUAGUUGUAGACCCGAAACCGAGUGACCUAUCCAUGGUCAGGUUGAAGGUGGGGUAAUACCUACUGGAGGACCGAACAAGUGGGUGUUAAAAAACCCUUUGAUGAACUGUGGAUAGC